rnacentral:tRNA from 1 species
GCCCUUAUAGCUCAGUGGUAGAGCGCAUCACUCGUACGUAACGGUAUGAUGAGGUCCGUUGUUCAAUCCAGCGUGGGGGCA